rnacentral:rRNA from 1 species
GACGAACGCUGGCGGCGUGCUUAACACAUGCAAGUCGAACGGACAGGCCCUGCUUUUGUGGCGUUCUCGAUUGGCGAACGGGUGAGUAACACGCGUGUAACCUGCCCUUGACUUUCGGAUAACUUUUGGAAACUGGGGCUAAUACCGGAUAGGAGCUCCUGCUGCAUGGUGGGGGUUGGAAAGUUUCGGCGGUUGGGGAUGGACUCGCGGCUUAUCGGCUUGUUGGUGGGGUAGUUGAUUUCCAAGGCUUAGAAGGGUAGCCGACCUGAGAGGGUGGCCGGCCACAUGGGGCCUAGGAUAAGGACCAGUAUCCUACGGGACGCAGCGGGGGGGAAUAUUGCGCAAUGGGGGGAAGCCUGAUGCAGCAACGCCGGGAUCGGGAUACCGGCCUUCGGGUUGUAAACCGCUUUCGCCUGUGACGAGGCGGGAUUGACGGUAAUGGGUAAAGAAGCACCGGCUAACUACGUG